UUGCUCCAAACACAUGAAUUACCUUAUUUGUUCUUAAGCAGAUCUGCUUUUUCCUUGCCCUUUGACAGCUCACCCACUAGUUUUUUGUCUGUUUUGUUAUACAGCUGUGACACAGAUAUGUGUCAUGUGAGCCUGUAUGCACACAGGUGGAUACUUCACUGGCUAUCUGGAAACAGGGACUGUGCAAAGCCUGGAAAGCAGCAUGACCAACAAACACACAAUAGCUAGAUGGGACCCAGGAGCACAAUUAGUUGGCUCUGCUAAUGCCACGCUGGAAGAAUUUAACUAUCCCUUGCCGUGUCUGUGGCCUUUAAAUGGGGAUGCUGUUGGUGUUCUGCAAAGAGGUAUUCUAUAA
rnacentral:lncRNA from 1 species